GCCUUCACUAUUGUCCAGUCGGUGGAGCAUGAGACUCUUAAUCUCAGGAUUGUGGGCUUGAGCCCCACAUUGGGCA
rnacentral:tRNA from 1 species